rnacentral:rRNA from 1 species
GGUGGCCCCCAUCUUUCGGCGCCGCACUGUACUAAACUAACUAAAGUGGGGGAUAGUGAGGGGAUAAAUUUCCUUAAGGAACUCGGCAAAAAUCCCAAUGGCCCACCAGGGCAUAAAUUGGAACACGGGCCUCGACUGUUUACCAAAAACAUAGCCCUCGGCCAAUAUGAAAAUAGAAGUAUGGAGGGUGAGGCCUGCCCAAUGGUUGUAUCUAAAAGCGGUUGAUAAAAGUCGACCGCGUAAGGACAAUUGAAUGGCCGCGGUAACACUGACCGUGAUAAUGUAGCGUAAUCAAUAGCCAAUUAAUUGUUGGCCAGUAUGAAUGGCGCCACGAAGGCCCCACUGUCUUAAGGAAAUUCCCAGUGAAAUUGAAUUCGUAGUGAAGAUGCUACGUCCAAUUUGUUAGACGAAAAGACCCCGUUGAGCUUUACUGGGGCACUUACACGGCCCCGGCCUUCAAGACUGGGUUGAUAAGCCAAGGCUUACCAUACCUAGGGACCGGCCGAAUUUAAAUGGGCGGCUUAGACUAUGUGGCAGCCCCCCCCGUCGGGGCAGAUGAAACCCCACUCCCCCAUGUCAAAGGGGCUAACCCCCCCCCCUUGGGGGGGACAAUGUAAGUAGGACAGUUUGGUUGGGGCGACCGCCUUUUAGAGAGUAACGAAGGUGCGCUUAAGGUGCGUAAUUAAUGACUGAAGCCUGACUGCGAGGGGGAUACCCCGAGCAGACACCCCCAAGCCCGCCCGAGAAGGCUUUGCCUUCUGGGCGGCGGUGGGGUGGGCCAUAGUGACCCGUUAAUUUAGAGUGGAAUAGUUAACGAUCAACGAAUAAAAGUUACCACGGGGAUAACAGCGUAAUAUCGUU